rnacentral:rRNA from 1 species
UUUGUUACUUCAAACCAAUCGGACUUCGGUCUGACAUCAAGUGAUAUUGAACAAUUUAGCUGAUCGCACGGUCUAAGAACCGGCGACAUAUCCUUCAAAUGUCUGCCUUAUCAACUUUCGAUGGUAGAUUAUGCGCCUACCAUGGUUGUAACGGGUAACGGAGAAUCAGGGUUUGAUUCCGGAGAGGGAGCCUGAGAAACGGCUACCACAUCCAAGGAAGGCAGCAGGCACGCAAAUUACCCACUCCCGGCACGGGGAGGUAGUGACGAAAAAUAACAAGCUGGUCUCAAUGAGUUCCAGCAUUGUAAUGGGAACAAUUUAAAUCUUUUAUCGAGGAUCUAUUGGAGGGCAAGUCUGGUGCCAGCAGCCGCGGUAAUUCCAGCUCCAAUAGCGUAUAUUAAAGUUGUUGCGGUUAAAAAGCUCGUAGUUGGAUCUAGGAUUAGGGCUACGGUCGUUCAGCUUGGACGUACUGUAUGCCCGACUCCUUUUCUCUAGUAUUCGAUUGUUGCUCUUAAAUGAGUGACUUUAGUUGCUGAACUUUUACCUUGAAAAAAUUGAAGUGCUCAAAGCAGGUUA